rnacentral:rRNA from 1 species
UACGUAGGGUGCAAGCGUUAAUCGGAAUUACUGGGCGUAAAGCGUACGCAGGCGGCUUUGCAAGUCAGGUGUGAAAUCCCCGGGCCUAACCUGGGAACUGCAUUUGUGACUGCAUGGCUAGAGUUUGUCAGAGGGGGGUGGAAUUCCACGUGUAGCAGUGAAAUGCGUAGAUAUGUGGAGGAACACCGAUGGCGAAGGCAGCCCCCUGGGAUGUGACUGACGCUCAUGUACGAAAGCGUGGGGAGCAAACAGG